rnacentral:rRNA from 1 species
UACAGAGGUCUCAAGCGUUGUUCGGAUUCAUUGGGCGUAAAGGGUGCGUAGGCGGCGCGGUAAGUCGGGUGUGAAAUCUUGGAGCUUAACUCCGAAACUGCAUUCGAUACUGCCGUGCUUGAGGACUGGAGAGGAGACUGGAAUUUACGGUGUAGCAGUGAAAUGCGUAGAUAUCGUAAGGAAGACCAGUGGCGAAGGCGAGUCUCUGGACAGUUACCGACGCUGAGGCACGAAGGUCAGGGGAGCAAACGGG